rnacentral:rRNA from 1 species
UACGUAGGGUGCGAGCGUUGUCCGGAAUUACUGGGCGUAAAGAGCUCGUAGGUGGUUUGUCGCGUUGUUCGUGAAAACCGGGGGCUUAACCCUCGGCGUGCGGGCGAUACGGGCAGACUGGAGUACUGCAGGGGAGACUGGAAUUCCUGGUGUAGCGGUGGAAUGCGCAGAUAUCAGGAGGAACACCGGUGGCGAAGGCGGGUCUCUGGGCAGUAACUGACGCUGAGGAGCGAAAGCCAGGGGAGCGAAUGGG